GCCCGCGCGCGCCCGCCCCGGGAGGAGGGUGCGCGGCGGAGGCGCGGGGGGGGGGGGGAGUCGAGGAGGGGCCGCGCCCGGUCCUCGCCCGCAGCGGGCACCGCCGGGGGCCCCGGGAGGCCUUGUUGGUAUUCCGGGCACAGCAGAAGCCCUGACCUCCCCGCGGAACAGGGGCGCCCGGGAGCGCGGCGCGGCCGCCGCCCCCGGGCGGUCUCCCCGGACUGCGGGGCCGUAGGCGCCUUGCUCCCCCUCCUCCCUGUCCCCUCCUCUCCAGGUCCCCCGUACCCCCUCCCCCGGCCUGAUCCGGCGGCGAAGGGGUGGGCAGGGAAACGCGCUCUCUGGGACAGGUGCCAACUCCGAGACAAAAGACAUAAAAUAGGCGGCAACGGGGGAAGCGCGGCCGGCGCGCUCGGGCGGGGACGGAGGCGCCGCGGGGGCCGCAUCCUCGGUGCCGACCGGGGAAAGUUUGGGAAGUCGCCGCGGCGGCUUCGCAGCGGCGGGGGACACGCGGGCCGGGCCGCCCUCCGCGCCGCGCUCGCCCUCUCCGCGCCGCUGCUGAAUAAUUCAUGGCGCGGCCGCCGGCCAUUAGCAUGCACCGGGCGCGCGGCGCGUCUGUGCCCAGCCGUCGCCGCCGCAUUCGGCGCCCCGGCCGCGCUAGACGAGCGGCCGCGCAGAGGCCGGGCCCGCGCCGUCCCCGCGCUCGCCCGCCCGUCCGCCCGUCCGCCCACCCGGCGGCUCCCAUUGUGCCCCAGGCCCGCGCCGCUCCGCCGUCCUGUGACCGCCUGCGCCCCGCAGCGCGCCCGACGGCCGGCCGCUGGAAGUUCGGGCCCGCGGCGCACGCCCUGCCGCCCCGGGAUGCACGUGAACUUGGAGAAAGUCUCGGGGCGCGCCGGCGCAGACCUCCGCGGCAGGGCGUGGGCGCCCCUGGCCCCGCGCGCUUUCGUUUUCGUCUGGGACAAAGGUCCCUCGCGGCGCAGGUCGCGGACGUGGAGGCAGUGCCCUGCGGGCCACUCAGCGGGGAGGUCCGGUCGUUCAGUCAAGGGAAGCCGGAGCCUGGAGAAGACGAGCCGCGCGGUCGGAGGCGCGGUGCGGGACCAGGACAGUGGGGCCUGGCCGUGCGCUUCGCCCUGGCGGUCCAGGAGCUGUCUCGCCCUCCGAAGAGUUACGGGAGGUGGCACUGCUUUUGCUCUCUGCCCUUUCGACACGUGAAGGAGAGAAUCAUUCGGAACCCAGGACUCAGACCGGUGGCCGAGGGCCUGUGCAGCCGCGAGCACGACAGCGCAGCGCUGGCCGCGUCCGCGCGCGUUCCUCCGACAAGGGCAGAGCAGUCGACCAGCGCGCCCCAGUCUCGAUCGGGUUCAAGGCGACUCUUGAGGACGGUGUGGGGCUUUGAAAGUACAAUCCUGCAUGGCCUUACUGUGAAUGGAUGGGCACUUUGUCUCGGUCCGGAUGCAGGAGUCCUGCCUUUAGAGGCAGCUCAGAAGCCCUGUGGAUGGAUCGUACGAGCGCCCCGGCCCAGCCCACUUGCAGCCAGUGAAGGCGGCUGGUCCCAGAGCAUCUCGGAGAAAGCGGACGCCUGUCUUGGCCUUUGGAAGACGCUCAAGGACCACGUGGCCGGGUCCACGGUCUCUGCCCUGCGCCUCGAGGGCGAGGCAGCCCAGGUCUUGCCCUUCUUGCCGUCCACUUCGCCCCCAGCCGACGCCUGGAGCUUGAGGUGACUGAGCGCUCUCAGGUCUGUGCGCUUUUGAAUGUUGAAGAUCAGGCUCCCCACCCCCGCCCUCCCGGAAGGGAUGUACACACUCUGGUUACACGUGCACGUGUGCUCCUGUGCACACGCCUGCACGGCCUCUGGAGGACAGGAGCCGGGCGGGCCCUUCUCACACCGUUGCUUGGGCUCGGCUCUGUGCGCUGCCUCCGUGGCUCUGCCCUCCCGCCGGAGACGGGGCCUGUAGGGAGCCGGGCUGGCCCAGGCGUCUCCCCAGGGAGCCGGUCUCGACCGUCUUCUGGGCUCCCUCCUGCCGCAGGUGAAGUGAAGCCGCCUUUGCGAGGAGGCAGCUGUCACGGGUCCGAGCUGGGAGGACCCGUAACUCCCUGGCAUUUCCCAGCAUCUGUGGGGUCGGGCAGCGCUCAGGGGCUCAGCAAGUGAUGGGGUCUCAACCCGGCCCUCCCCCGAGAGCCAGCCUCACUGUGGCCUGUCGGGCACACUUGGCUGCUUCCAGCCUCCUGGGGAGUCAGUGCAGCCGUGAGGGUCAGACCCAGAGUGGCAUCCAUUCCCCUCCCCCACUCCUGCCAUGGCCAGGGGCAGGCCUGCCUCCCGGGGCUGGGCAGAGAGGACCUGGGAUCCCUCUGCCAUCGGGGCCUCUCAUGUUGGUAGGUCCAGCUUGCCCACCAGACUCCACAGACGCCACCCCGGGGCUUUUCUGUCUGCAUGCAGGGCCUGUGCCAGCUGGUGCCCAAGGGUGGGGUGGGACACUCUGGGGGCAGGAGGGCCUCCAAGGACUUCAGAGACGGAGGAGAGAGGGGGACACGAGAGGGGAAUAGCGGAGGGAAAGAACAGAGCAGAGGCAGAGAGAGCAGGGCCGGGAGAAGGGAGACGGCAGAGCCACCAGGACCCGCGCGCAGCUGUCCCUGGGGAGACGGCCUCG
rnacentral:lncRNA from 9 species